GAAGUUGAAUCAAGAAAGGGUAAAGCAAAAAUAUAUACAUAUAUAAAUUAACUUGAGCCAAUGGAACCUAAAGAGGCUAUCAGCAUAUGAAUAACAGCAUUCUAAACAAAACCUAUAUACAAAUCUAUUUACAUGUUAAAUUUAAAUAUAGGUAUGGAAGACUGUCACACAAUACCUAGAUCUCUACACUAUCAGCAGCAGAUUUUAUUCUAUAACAAUAGAAAAGCCAUAAUUAACAAUGUGACCUUUGUUCUAACAUAUAAAUAUAACUUCUUACUAAUACAGCUAUAGAUUUUACUAUGCUUUCAGUGUGCCCUCUCCUUGAAUGGAGACACAGAUGUAUCAUACGCAGACGUGCUACAUUUUCUGGAUGUCACCCUAAUGCCUUUUAGACGAAUCCUGAAUUCCCCGGCAAAGUUGUGUAUAUAGCACCAAGGUGAUUGCUAACGUCAACACAAGCCCAGAGAUGGCUUUGAUGCAAGUCAUAGGAUGUGUCUGUCUGAUUUAUGACCAACAUGGCUGAAAGACUAAAGUAGAGUUCACCUUUCUAGAUAAUGUGUGGCCUGUAACAUCCCAUUACCUAGUACAGGACUAUACUGAGCAGUCUGUGCCUCCUACACAUGAAGAGUGUGCCUGAGACCUGUGUCCUCGAUCAAGCCCCUCAGGACUGUAUUUUUGCAGCCUGGACUUCCUUCCUCUGAAGAUUGUACCUGCAGCCUGUACACUCUCACCACCCUAAGGGCUGUUGUUUGUGGCCUGAAUAAAAGAGACUCCUCAAACUGUGUAGGCCUGGUACUCUCUGCAGCAGCGAGACUGUCUACAACAGGAUAUUUUUACAAGAGAGGUCAGGUGGGUGAGUCUGCAGCAGCAGUUUCAAGAACUCAGCAUUUUGCACUAGUUGUAAUGGUUAGCAGAGCAGCCGGGAGCUUCUACACAAACUAGUAUACACCACUUUGCAUUAAGCAGGAGAGGGAAAAGCAUUGCUUGUCUCCCUCUCACCCCUCCUGUGUGGCCUAUGCAAAAACAUCCCA